rnacentral:rRNA from 1 species
AUUGAACGCUGGCGGCAUGCCUUACACAUGCAAGUCGAACGGUAACAGGUCUUCGGAUGCUGACGAGUGGCGAACGGGUGAGUAAUGCAUCGGAACGUGCCCAGUAGUGGGGGAUAGCCCGGCGAAAGCCGGAUUAAUACCGCAUACGACCUGAGGGUGAAAGGGGGGGAUCGCAAGACCUCUCGCUAUUGGAGCGGCCGAUGUCAGAUUAGCUAGUUGGUGGGGUAAAGGCCUACCAAGGCAACGAUCUGUAGUUGGUCUGAGAGGACGACCAGCCACACUGGGACUGAGACACGGCCCAGACUCCUACGGGAGGCAGCAGUGGGGAAUUUUGGACAAUGGGCGCAAGCCUGAUCCAGCAGUGCCGCGUGCAGGAAGAAGGCCUUCGGGUUGUAAACUGCUUUUGUCAGGGAAGAAAUCUUCUGGGUUAAUACCUCGGGAGGAUGACGGUACCUGAAGAAUAAGCACCGGCUAACUACGUGCCAGCCGCCGCAGUAAAAC